UGGCAACACUGCUUCUCAGUUUUCGCGGAAGUUCGUCUGCAUCUACAGUAAGUUUUUGUUCAAAUUAUAAUUCACUCACAAUGUCGGUCACGUCACCCAGUUGUCUCGAAAGUCGAAGCAUAGUCGAAGCGUCAUGUAAACUACAACACGUUGAGGAUGCUAUCACUAUCAGCAAAGUUUCAAUCAUUAAAUAGUGUGAUUAUAGUGAGCAGUUUAUAAACGAGUCCGAUCACGCAAACGUUUUGUUCUAUUCUCGAUUGCCUAACCUGUGUUACUAACGCCACUAGUGUGAAUCAGCCCAUGUGCUCAGAUCACAGAGUGGAGAUGAGGAUUUGAUGUUUCAAUCUCCUUGCUGAAAAAAUGUGUGCUGCAAGAAGUUUUUGUUCUGCAUGGUUUUAUUAAUUCAAAAUUAUCUCACCGCUUAGCUACAAUGCCACAUAAGCAAGUCUUUAACUUUUCAAGUAGAGUGUGACUGUUGAAGAUAUCUCUGCUUGUGAAGAAUGCAGCAAUGUAGAAAAAUUACUUAAAGAAGUAAACUCAAACAUUCAGUGACAGCAGCACCUACCUACAUGAACUGCCUUACACAGCAUUUGCCUGCAAUAAGAAGAUUUCCAAUCUCCAGCCUACACGGGAAUUGGCUCGGGUUAUGAUUACACAUCAAACAAUAAAAUAUCAGUGUCGAAGAAAAUCCAGUGAGAAGAACAUCAACAUUGGUGUACAAUAAGUUUUUGCAUAUGUGUUCAAGGUUUGAUGGAGGAAAAGAUUGGUUGGUCUUGAUCUUUUUUUUCAACAUCUUCUACCACCAAUCUCUUGCAACGAACAACAAGAUAAUUGAACUGAUUUUGGUGAUGAAACGCUUGCAAUGUAGAACUGUAAUGCUGUAGUUGAACAUUGCUUGCAGCUUUGGCCAGAACAGAAUUUGAAAAACCCCUCUAUCACGAGCUAUACUGUCUGAGUUAGGUGGGUAACAGUAGUGUGGGUACACUACUGUUGACAAACGAGCCUAAGGCAAUCACAAAUCCUAUCUGUAACUCGACGAACAAGGUGCUAGAUAGAAAUUUCAAAGAAGGACAAAAUGGAAACUGAAUUGUGGAACUUGUGAAAUAGUGUGGCGUUGAUAUGGAUAGCGAACAGUUACAUAUUGAAUCUGAUCCCAAAUUAGUGCUAAAAGAUACAUCCAUUACCCGUACACAUGUCCAACUCAACAUUAUUGUGGCGCGCUACGAUUAUGGUUCUGGUGGAAUCACUAUCAAGAAGAAAAGCAGUCGAAUGCUCCUUUUCCUGCUGCCAUCAUAUUGAAAUCGGGCAUGGGAGUCCGGUCAAGACGCAUGUCAACCAGUACACGAGCAAUCCAUUUGCGCUCAAUUAGAACCUGGCGUCGGAGAAGAGACACUGCAAUUUUACUUGUCGUACAAGUUCUCCCUAAGGGGAUGUGGCGAGUUUGGCAACCAUACCGCCAUGCUGCAAACUGUUCGUGCUACGUUGUUCCGGUUUCCUUCCGGAUCAGAAGAGAAAGUCAUCCGAGUUUUCGAAGCACCUCACAAUUUAUGUGGAAGUGGCUCACCUCUGGAAGAUGUUGAGCGAAGAUGAAGUGAAUUGCAGUCCGUUUCGUUUCCUCCACUGCCAGCUCAGCUCAGAGCAUGUUUGGACGAAUCCGGCCAAGGUGGUUGUACUGAAUAGCACAACCGAACAAAAUUCAGUUCAUCUUUUCUUCACUGUCUACUCCAUUUGUGAGUUUUGCGUUUCCAUAGUACCGGAAUACCACCGGGAAACCCUGGAGAAAUCGCCUUUCCACGCUGCUCUGCCUCACUUCAACGGCAUUUACUUGACUAAUUCGAUCCUUACUCUGGGCAGUGGGCGGUGGAUUGGAAAAAAAGUACGCCUGAUUGAUUUAGUCGGCUAAUUAAGGCAGUUGCCCCCACCCACAUCUUUGACAGAAUAUGGAACUGUAGCUUGAUGAACUUCUUUCCAUCCUCAAAGAAGCUAGUUUUAAGUUGGAUUCGAAAGGGAACCCAGAUUUUCAAGUGCAUAAUAGACCGGAUUUCAAGCCUUGCACCGUUCCCGCAUCUUACAGCGUAUGUCAGUAUCGAUCAGACCACUAGAUUCCAUGUACCUUGGAUUCACCGUGUCUAACCAGGAGGUUGCGUGGUAGGAAAUAAGUCCUCCUCAAAUACAUGGUAAUAAAUGAUUCGUUCUGCAUUGCAUCUCUCGGACAUUUCCGGUUUGCUCCGGAUUAGGAGAGAAAGUCAUCCGAGUUUUCCAACCACCUCACCAUAUUCUAUAGAACUUUGCCCGGAUCUGUCGUGUUGAUCAGCCAGUUUCAGAACUGCAGAGUGCUCCUCAGGGAACUCCUGUUCGAGCCUUACGUAUCCAUUAUUCCUAUGGGCCGGCGUAUUCUUAUCACCAAAGAUGGUAAAACAUAUUUUAAUAGUUUUACAGCGGCCAGCGGCUCUUCUGCAUCGGAACAGUAGCUGUACGUACCAAAACAUCCCAGAUAAAAGUUUUCCAAUUGUUGGGUUGAUGUUUACGCGAUGCCUAAAAUUGCCUAUGGUGUUGCAGUCCAAUUGGCUGAUGCUGUUUCCUGCCUGUCACCUGGUUUAAGGAGUACUUGAACAAAACAGAAUUCACGUUGCUGGUUAUUUUCAGUUUUUUUUUUCUGUGUUCUCUCAGUCAUUUUGCAAGUGGUAUGAUUGAAAUGUUUUUUGUUUGUUUUUUUUGCGUUAAGUGUUUUUUAAGUUUUUCUAAGUGGUACUUGGAAUGGGAAAUGAUUAUAUUACACAUGAAAUAUAUUACAUUCAGACAUU
rnacentral:lncRNA from 1 species